UACGUAGGCAGCGAGCGUUGUCCGGAGUUACUGGGCGUAAAGGGUGUGUAGGCGGUUGUUUAAGUUUGGUGUGAAAUCUCCCGGCUCAACUGGGAGGGUGCGCCGAAUACUGAAUGACUUGGAGUGCGGGAGAGGAAAGUGGAAUUCCUGGUGUAGCGGUGAAAUGCGUAGAUAUCAGGAGGAACACCGGUGGUGUAGACGGCUUUCUGGACGAUGACUGACGCUGAGACGCGAAAGCGUGGGGAGCAAACAGG
rnacentral:rRNA from 1 species